rnacentral:lncRNA from 1 species
AUUUAUAACUAUGCAAAAUUCCAUGUGUGUCAUUAUCUUAAUCUUUAUUAUUAAGGAGAAAAAAUUGGUAUUGAUGAGGUAAAGAGUUUUCUGGAAAAUAUGGGGAUAGAGUUCAAAGAUGAAGACUUCACCAAACUGAUGGAGAAGCUGCCAUUUGAUGAAGACGGAAAGGUCUACCGAAACAGGUUGCUAGCAAGCUUGAAGACUUUGAAAGGUGGGAUGGUCAGUACCGGCAACCUGAAAUCUGUCAUGGAUAAAUUAGGAAUCAAACUCAAGGAUAACGAAUUUAAGGAUCUGAUGCAAAAUCUCCCUGUUGAUGCUAACAAGAUUUCUCUAGAGACAUUGAUGAAAAAAUUGAAGGCUUUUACAGGAGACAAGAUCAAUUCCGUUGACAUGAGAAACAUCUUAAAGAACCUGGGGAUCGAACUCACAGAGAAGGAACAAGAAAGGCUACUGAGAACACUGCCUGCUGAUGAUGUUGGGAAGACAUAUUACAACAAGUUGAUAGAAAGUGUGAAGUCCUUCAAUGAGGGAAAGAUUGACGUAAGUAACCUGAACAAUAUCCUGAAAAGUCUGGGAAUCAAACUCCGAGAAGAGGAGUUUGCAAAGGUGUCCAAAGACCUACCUGUGGACUCUAGUGGGAAGGCUGAGAUGAAGAAGGUGAUGGAUAUAAUUAAAACUACUACAGGAGGAGAGGUGGAUAGAAAACAUGUGCGACGUGUUCUAUCAAAACUGGGAAUAGAGCUUACAGACAGCGAAUUCUUUAAACUGAUGGAAACUUUGUCUUUUGACAAUGAUGACAAGAUCUUCAAGAACAGGUUAAUAGAAUCUGUGACGUCUCUCCAAGGUGGUAAAGUCGACAGCAACAACCUGGACACAGUUCUGGAUAACAUGGGAAUCAAACUUUCAAAUACGGAACUUCAAGAUCUGAAGCAAAGCAUGAACGUUGGAGUUGACAAUAAAAUUUCACUGCAGACACUGAUGCAAAAAAUGAAAGAUUUUACAGGGGAGAAGAUCGAACCCAGUGAUGUACCGAGUAUCCUGGAGAAACUUCACAUAGAGCUCACAGAGGAGGAGCUAGAGGAGCUGAUGAAAAGGUUACCCGUAGACGAGACUGGAAAGUUAUAUAGUAACAGGUUGCUGAAGAAUCUGAAAGACCUCAAAAGUAAGGAACUGCAGGACAAGGCAUAGUGUCCAAAUUCUCCAGACCUCAGGCCAUCGUGUUAGUGACUGGGGCCCACAAAAUACACAGUUGUAACUCACUGAGCAUACAUUUUAUCUACUGUUGUAAUAUAUUUUGGUGACAUACAGCCUAUUUUAUUUUUAUAAUUAUUAUUCACUUUUUCUGUAAAUAAAAAGAACAAAACAGUGGGCUAUUCAUGACUGAAAUGUACCAUGGAGCCACAGAGAUAACUAACAGUUCACAAAUACUAAUGACCUGGCUCUUUGUGCAAUGGAGUAAAGUUGGUAUCAAUGGCCCAUCUUUCUAGACCCUUAACAGUGUUUAAACACGUCCAUUUAUCCGUAAGAAUAAUUAAAAACAGUACAUCUGGCUCCCCUGUUAAGACAUUUGAAUGGAC